CUUAACUGGACUGAAGGGGGUCCCAGGUAUCAGCAAGGUUUAAAAGCUACCCAGGUGAUUGCAAUGCACAGCCCAGGAGGAGAACCACUGACUUAAGCAAAUCUAAAUGGGGAUUUUGUUCCCCUAACUCAGCAUCCAAACCUGCCUCACCACACCACAGCCUAUUUGAGAAAAAGCCAGAGGGAUAUCGCAGCACCCUCUUUGGACUGAGUGGUUUAAUACGCCCCUGUGAAGAUAGUCAGGCAAAGGAGCCAGAGGAUAUGGUCCCUGAAUACGCAGAAGACACGGGAGUGAGGAAAAGAACAGCUGGAGUUUUGAACUGCCAGCAGACCACUCAGGACAUGCUCCUCCUGACCUGCACCUUCCGUCACAGCUUGGGCCUGCUACCUGGACUCAAGACAGAAAAACAGCCCUGCAGGGAAAAGCGGACAUGACUAGGCACACAGGGCUUCUCACUCUCUGGGAUCCCAUGGUGUUUGCAGCGGUGUCAUUAA
rnacentral:lncRNA from 1 species